CGCGCCGGUCCCGCCGGCCAGCGUGGCGGCGGUCAUUUCGCCGGCAAUCCGCCGUCGCGACGGCGGACGUCGGUUCGUGCCGAUCGGCUCGUC
rnacentral:tRNA from 1 species